rnacentral:tRNA from 1 species
GCUGGAGUAGCUCAGCUGGUAGAGCAGUCGAUUCGUAAUCGACAGGUCACCGGUUCGAUCCCGGUCUCCAGCU